CAAACCCCCUUCUGAGGCCGUGUGUCCUUUGAUUUACUUCCCAAGCUGCAAUAUUUGGCUGAGCGGUCUGGAACGGGGCCCUAUCCUCAAAUGAACAGAUACCGGCCAGCACCAAGCACACUAAUGGAAAAAACAACUUCAGAUAUUACACAGGAUUUAUUUAUUUUUCCUACCUGAGGUCCUGUCGAGCCCUACAGAUAAACCACAACUGGAGCUAUUGUGGACAUAGUGCUGUGUUUGGGAACCCAGCUGCUCAGGGUCAGCAAUUUGCUGUGAAAUGUGCAGAUUCUCCGGGUGAAUGGAUAGAUUCACAGAGGUGACUAGCUCGGGGUGAAUGGGUAGAUUCACAGAUAUGAUUGGCUCGGCGUGAAUGCAUAGAUUUACAGAGAGGAUUCUGAGUGCUGGAGCAGAUUCUUAGGAUAAAUAGGUACAUUUGCAGAGGUGACUGGCUCGGGGUGAAUGGGCAGAUUCACAGAGAUGAAUGGGUAGAUUUCUAGAGAUGACUGGCUCAGUAUGAACGGGUAGAUUCUGGCUCGGGAUGAAUGGGUAGAUUCGCAGGGAUGACUGGAUUGGGGUGAAUGGGUAGAUUCACAGAGAUGACUUGCUCGGGAUGAACGGGUAGAUUCGCAGGGAGGAUUGGCUUGGGACGAAUGGGUAGAUUCCUAGAGGUGACUGGCUCAGGGUGAAUGGGUAGAUUCCUAGAGCUGACUGGCUCGGGUUGUGGCGGACCUGGUACCAUGCCCUGGGUGUGCCGGAACUGAUACAGCUCUGUUCUGUAAAUUCCUGUAUCUCCCCAUUCGGGAGCCGAACUGAGCUUUUGUGCCCCCCUCUUUAUUGACUCAGAACACCGACCACCCCUGGCAGUUAACUGCAUUUAAAGGAUUAAUUUGAGUGCUUUCACUGGGUGGCUGCUAUUCGUAUAACUGAAUGCACAUGGUUCAGUGCAUGGCAGCCAUUUUGUCUCCCAACUCAGGCAGCGGCACUUAGUCAUCAAGGCGUGCAACUCUUGUCAGCUACACAUUCUCACUAACCGCGGCAAAGAUGGUACUGCUGCCUGUUUACAUUCCCAACCAGCUACAUGAACCAAGUUCAGGAGAUAGGGACUACUGACUAGGGGGAGCGUUCAUCUGUGUAUGUGCAGGAACCCCGAACAGAGACCAGCUGCUGCCAUGAAUUCUCUGGAACUCUUUUGGGGCAUCACCUUGUGACCAGUUGAUCAAAACUUCUCCCAAAUGGCAAUUUCACUGAACCGAUAUGAGCACUUUUGGAUAUGUUCGGUGCUCAGACCAGGGCUAUUCGAGGAUAUCGGACUUGUGGGGUUCCUGUACUAUUUUCUUAUUUUUUUGGGGUGAUUUACAAUAUUGUAUGAAUUUUUUCUGUAACUGAGAGAUAAUUGAAUUAUCCAGAUUAGAGCUCAAUUAUCUCCUGAGAGAAAAAAACCCUGUAAUGUUGUUGUGGAGACCCUAUGCUAGGGG